GACGAACGCUGGCGGCGUGCUUAACACAUGCAAGUCGAGCGGUAAGGCCCUUUCGGGGGUACACGAGCGGCGAACGGGUGAGUAACACGUGGGUGACCUGCCCUCAGUUCUGGGAUAAGCCUGGGAAACCGGGUCUAAUACUGGAUAUGACCUCAUGACGCAUGUUGUGGGGUGGAAAGCCUUGUGCGAUUGAGGAUGGGCCCGCGGCCUAUCAGCUUGUUGGUGGGGUGAUGGCCUACCAAGGCGACGACGGGUAGCCGGCCUGAGAGGGCGACCGGCCACACUGGGACUGAGACACGGCCCAGACUCCUACGGGAGGCAGCAGUGGGGAAUCUUGCGCAAUGGGCGAAAGCCUGACGCAGCGACGCCGCGUGAGGGAUGACGGCCUGUGU
rnacentral:rRNA from 1 species